rnacentral:rRNA from 1 species
AACGAACGCUGGCGGCAUGCCUAACACAUGCAAGUCGAACGAGACCUUCGGAUCUAGUUGCGCACGGGUGCGUCACGCGUGGGAACCUGCCCUUAGGUUCGGAAUAACUCCCCGAAAGGGGUGCUAAUACCGGAUAAUGUCUUCUGACCAAAGAUUUAUCGGCUGUGGAUGGGCCUGCGUUGUAAUAGCUAGUAGGUAGCGUAAAAGCCUACCAAGGCUACGCUCCAUAGCUGGUCUGAGAGGAUGAUCAGCCACGCUGCGUGUGAGACACGGCCCAGACUUUUAAGGGAGGCAGCAGGGGGGAAUAAUGGACACCGGGCGAAUGCCGGAGCCAGCAAUGUCGCGUGAGUGAUGUAGGCGGUAGGAUUGUAAAGCUCUUUUACCCGGGAUGAUAAGGCGAGACCCGAGAGAAUAGGCCCCGCCUAACUCGGG